UACGUAGGUGGCAAGCGUUGUCCGGAUUUAUUGGGCGUAAAGCGCGCGCAGGCGGUGAGGUAAGUCCGUCGUGAAAUCUCCCGGCUCAACUGGGAGGGUGCGGGGGAGACUGCCUGACUGGAGGCACUCAGAGGCCGGUGGAAUUCCCGGUGGAGUGGUGAAAUGCGUAGAGAUCGGGAGGAACACCAGUGGCGAAGGCGGCUACCUGGACCAGCAUUGACACUCAAGCACGAAAGCGUGGGGAGCAAACAGG
rnacentral:rRNA from 1 species